rnacentral:rRNA from 13 species
UCCGUAGGUGAACCUGCGGAAGGAUCAUUGUCGA